CCUACGAGAGGCAGCAGUGAGGAAUAUUGGUCAAUGGCCGGAAGGCUGAACCAGCCAUGCCGCGUGAAGGUCAGUGCCCUAUGGGCGUUAAACUUCUUUUGUGCGGGAGCAAUAAUGGUCACGUGUGGCCAGACGAGAGUACCGUACGAAUAAGCAUCGGCUAACUCCGUGCCAGCAGCAGCGGUAAUCCGGGGGAUGCAAGCGUUAUCCGGAUUUAUUGGGUUUAAAGGGUUCGUAGUCUGUGCGGUAAGUCAGCGGUGAAAUGCCCCCGCUCAACGGGGUGAAGUGCCAUUGAUACUGCCUUGCGGGAAUGCGGAUGCUGUGGGAGGAAUGUGUGGUGUAGCGGUGAAAUGCAGAGAUAUCACACAGAACACCGAUUGCGAAGGCAUCUCACGAAUCCGCGAUUGACGCUGAUGCACGAAAGCGUGGGUAUCAAACAGGAUUAGAUACCCUUGUAGUC
rnacentral:rRNA from 1 species